rnacentral:rRNA from 1 species
UACGUAUGGUGCAAGCGUUAUCCGGAUUUACUGGGUGUAAAGGGAGCGUAGACGGCUGUGCAAGCCUGAAGUGAAAGGCCGGGGCCCAACCCUGGGAGUGCUUUGGGAACUGUGCAGCUAGAGUGUCGGAGAGGCAAGUGGAAUUCCCAGUGUAGCGGUGAAAUGCGUAGAUAUUGGGAGGAACACCAGUGGCGAAGGCGUCUUGCUGGACGAUGACUGACGUUGAGGCUCGAAAGCGUGGGGAGCAAACAGG